AUUGAACGCUGGCGGCAGGCCUAACACAUGCAAGUCGAACGAGUGGCGGACGGGUGAGUAAUGUCUGGGAAACUGCCUGAUGGAUGGGUAUAACUACUGGAAACGGUAGCUAAUACCGCAUAACAUCCGAUGUGCCCAGCGGGGAUUAGCUAGUUGGUGGGGUAAAGGCUCACCUAGGCGACGAUCCCUAGCUGGUCUGAGAGGAUGACCAGCCAAACUGGAACGGAGACACGGUCCAGACUCCUACGGGAGGCAGCAGUGGGGAAUAUUGCACAAUGGGCGCAAGUCUGAUGCAGCCAUGCCGCGUGAAUGAAGAAGGCCUUCGGGUUGUAAAGUACUGUCGGCAGGGAGGCGUUACCCGCAGAAGAAGCACCGGCUAACUCCGUGCCAGCAGCCGCGGUAAUUC
rnacentral:rRNA from 1 species